GGUUAAGUGACUAAGCGUACACGGUGGAUGCCUUGGCAGUCAGAGGCGAUGAAGGACGUAUUAACUUGCGAUAAGCCCAGAUUAGGUAGUAAAAACCAUUUGAGUCUGGGAUUUCCGAAUGGGGAAACCCAAUACCAUAAGGUAUUACUGUUGAGUGAAUACAUAGCUCAACAG
rnacentral:rRNA from 1 species